CAAAUGCAGGUGACAGGAUAAGAUUUUGUUAUCGCCUUCAGAAUUGUUCCAUAUCAAAUGACGUUGAUGUUGCGGAGAGAUAUGAGAAAAUAUGACUUGAUGAUGUAGAAAAAUUUGGGAAUCGCUUAUGUUCAAUCACUUAAAGAGGAGGCAAUUCCAGUUCCCGAUCAACCUGCUAUUACUAAAGAGAAUGUUAGCAUAUCCAAACAAUGGUGUUCUCUAUAUUAAGAUCGUUGUCCCGUUACUGGCAUCAUAUGGUGUCGCGGAGCCAAUUUUUGCGGCUAUUAAUAUGUAGCAAGGAGUUUUCGUGUUUUGAUUGAGAGAGGAACAAAUGAUCCAGUAACCAGUAUUUUGUUAAGAAGAUGACGAAGUCCAAAUGAGAAGACAAGAAGAUAUCAUCCACUUUAGGUUCCGACGUAGAUUUUGGAGUUGGUACUCAAUUUCUCUACCUUUGAAGAACAUGGUGGUACUAAUGGUUUAUCAGCAUCGGAUGAAGCUAGCAAUAAUAAAAGAUCAACAUGAUUAGGCGCAAUUAUUCUCAGCAGGUCGUAAGUAGGAUUGUUGACGUAUCGGCAGCACACUCAUCCUAAAAAAAACUGAAAAAUUAACGUCACUUGGCAAGAGUUCUAAACAAAAGAACCUACAAAAAGUUGUGACCGCUGGGUCAGA